UACGUAGGUGGCAAGCGUUGUCCGGAUUUACUGGGCGUAAAGGGCUCGUAGGCGGCCAACUAAGUCGGAUGUGAAAUCCCCAGGCUUAACCUGGGAACUGCAUCCGAUACUGGCGGGCUUGAAUCCGGGAGAGGGAUGCGGAAUUCCAGGUGUAGCGGUGAAAUGCGUAGAGAUCCGGAGGAACACCAGAGGCGAAGGCGGCCUACUGGGCUGCACCUGACGCUGAGCCGCGAAAGCCAGGGGAGCGAACGGG
rnacentral:rRNA from 1 species